rnacentral:rRNA from 1 species
CAGUAGCCGCGGUAAUACGGAGGGUGCAAGCGUUAAUCGGAAUUACUGGGCGUAAAGCGCACGCAGGCGGUCUGUCAAGUCAGAUGUGAAAUCCCCGGGCUUAACCUGGGAACUGCAUUUGAAACUGGCAGGCUAGAGUCUUGUAGAGGGGGGUAGAAUUCCAGGUGUAGCGGUGAAAUGCGUAGAGAUCUGGAGGAAUACCGAUGGCGAAGGCAGCCAUCUGGCCUAAUACUGACGCUGAGGUACGAAAGCAUGGGGAGCAAACAGGAUUAGAUACCCGUGUAGUCCCUGUCUCUUAUAC